GGCGUGGUCUGGCGGGUGCUUUUGGGCUUUGGUGAGGUCCUCACUCUUCGCGUGGAGCUUGCCCAUGUGCUUUUGGAGUGCAGUGAGUGUGGCGUCUGGCCUUGGAGUUCUCUUUGGAUUUCUGCAAUGGGUGUUUCUAUGCUUGCAGCACUUGGACUGCUGAAAUAGAAUACAUCGAUAAUCUGGGAUGCCAACAUGGAUAUGGUAACACCUUCCUAUACUGCAUUCAUGACUCUGUGAAAAGAAGAUUGGACAUCCAACAUGCAGAUGAAGAUCCAGCACCAGUAAGAUCAACCUAUAUGCCAGUCCCAUAUCCAUUUAACAGCAUGUCCUUUAUGAAGAAAAUAGCUAAGAAAGUGGACAAGAGAAUAGCUGUUACUAGGGCUUCCACAGUUUACAAUAAGCUUAGGAAUGAAAAGGAUCCUAUAGAUGAACAAGAAAAAAUGGGGGCCUAUAGAAUUCCUGUAAUCAACCAUGAAAUUAGCAAACAAGCAGCUUAUUGGGAUCACCAACAGGAUCCUAGCCCAGCAUAUAAAGGAGCAUAAAAAUGAUGUUAAUCUGGCUUUUUUUAACAUCAUUUUUAUACCUAUACUAUUGAUCUGAGUGUACAUUGGGAUCAAGUGAAGGUCAUAAAACCAGUGAAUAAUAAACUUUCAGGCCCUUAACACAGGAAAUAUUGAAGAGGCACAACAUGGAGCUCCUCCUCAAUGACCACCAAGUAUCCCAAGUGCUGCAAGUAUGGAGGUGCCUAUUGCAGAGGUCUGGGGAUGCUGUAGGG
rnacentral:lncRNA from 1 species